UUGGGGCAGCAAAAAAGUUAGAGCCGGCCCUGAUUCCUUUGCAAGGUUUCAUAACAUUGGAAGUUCAGCUAAGCAGCCAGAGUCCAUGGAGGCCACCAUCUCUCCUCAAAAAAACUUCUACAUCUUCACCAGAAAUUAAAAGGAGGCCCUGUGACCUGCAAAUCAGGCAUCCUCUCUCCCAGUUCUUCAGAGAAUCAUAGCAGGUGUGUCAUGGUCAUUGCUUUAGGUGAUGUAAAACGAAGAGUUACAACCAGUUUUCUCAUUAGGAGGACAGGAAAUAAGGUGAUAAAAGGGCUGUUUCUGAAGGUCCAGCAGCAGCACUGUGCUAUCCAGGAAACCUCCAGAGCUACAGAUCCCUGGGCCUGGUGGGCUGCUGGGCAUGAGUGCGAUAGCAGCUCUGAAAAGGGCUGGAAUUGAAGGGGAGAAGAGGAGAAUGCCUUAUGAACAGACAGGAGGACAAAGGGAGUUUGUUCUUUUAAGGGCUUGAUCCUGUGGUGCUGAGUGCUGAAGCUGAGAUAACUCAGCACCACACAAGAUUCACUCAGCACCUUGCAAAAUUGGGCCCUACACACUUACCUCUGAUUAUUGGGGUAAUGCUUUCUUUUCCUAGGGAAAGGUAAAACCUACCCCAUGAAGCAGGAAUUAUUAUUAAUAAUAAACGAUAACAUAUAGCACA
rnacentral:lncRNA from 1 species